rnacentral:other from 1 species
CUCAUCCUGCGGUGUGCGAGAAUCUCUACCGGUUUUAACCCACGGAGAUAAUAUGGGAGUCCGGAGUUUGGCUGUUCGAUGCCAGGCCAUCAUAGAAUGGAAGGCAGAGGCAGUCAACAGGACACCCACCUGCUGAGAAGCGGGUUGUAAAAUCGUAGAGAGGCGGCAUCGUGGGAUGGGU